rnacentral:tRNA from 1 species
GCUCAGUUGGUUAGAGCGCACGCCUGAUAAGCGUGAGGUCGGCAGUUCAAAUCUGCC